AAACCAACAGGGAUUGCCUUAGUAACGGCGAGUGAAGCGGCAACAGCUCAAAUUUGAAAUCUGGCCCUUGGGUCCGAAUUGUAAUUUGUAGAGGAUGAUUUUGGUGCGGUAUCUUCCGAGUUCCUUGGAACAGGACGCCUUAGAGGGUGAGAGCCCCGUACGGUUGAAUGCCUAGCCUCUGUAAAUCUCCUUCGACGAGUCGAGUAGUUUGGGAAUGCUGCUCUAAAUGGGAGGUAAAUUUCUUCUAAAGCUAAAUAUUGGCCAGAGACCGAUAGCGCACAAGUAGAGUGAUCGAAAGAUGAAAAGCACUUUGAAAAGAGGGUUAAAUAGCACGUGAAAUUGUUGAAAGGGAAGGAUUUGUGACCAGACUUUUUCUGGGCGGAUCAUCCGGGGUUCUCUCCGGUGCACUUCGCCCAGUAAAGGCCAGCAUCGGUUUUCGGCGUGGGAUAAAAGCAGUAGGAAUGUGGCUCUCUACGGGGAGUGUUAUAGCCUAUUGUAUAAUACCGCGCUGGGGACCGAGGUUCGCGCUUCUGCAAGGAUGCUGGCGUAAUGGUUAUCAAUCAC
rnacentral:rRNA from 1 species